CCGGGGGCACCGGGGGCAGCCCCGCGUACAGGUUCUCUGGUGACCGGCGAAGAACUGCCCGUUCUGCUGCGUAGGCCUUGCUGUAGGUGGCCGCCUUCCUCAGCAAGCCGUCUCUUUCCCACCCUCAGUCCCGCAUGCAGCACCACCACGUAACGCACAAGGAGAAGUGGCCUGGAUAAUAACUCCGAACAUCAGCCUUGCAAGAAAGAAUAGACGAGAGCUCACUUAGCUCUUCAGCCAGAGCUCUGGCUCUGCGUGUCUCUCUUGGCUGUGUUUUCCUGGAUUCGCCGUUCCCCCGGUAGGAGCACUCUUUUGCCAUUAAUGGGGAUCACUUGGCUGCAACAGUUUGUACAAGACACAAAAGAAUAAUACAGGGAGGAGGUUCCCUAGAAUGGACUAUUCCCACACGUCCAAAUGCCAAACAAUUCUGAACUCAUCAGGAGUUACGGGAACUUGUUCUAUCCUGAUUCCUUAGUGGAAAGACAAGCAGAUUAAGGCUAGAAAUGAAUGGGAGAUGUUUUAAAAAAAAUGCUGUCUCAGAUGUUGGAGCUGUUUUGUUGCCACUGCCUGAUCUUUUCAAAAAAGAAGACACCUUUGGAGGUAGGGUACUUUAUUCCCAGACAGAAGAAUAUUUUGAGAAAUACUUGCUACACUUACAAAUUAAAGAAGCACCUGUUCUGCUUUUUCUAAAAGCAUCCUUAUUUCCUUUGUAUAGGAGCAACGUUUUAAUGCGAAUAUAGCCACUUUAGAGAUGUUUGCACCCAUACUUUUGUAAAUUUCUGCAUCUAUGUUCUGUGUGUUACAGUUUACAGCCUCUUUCCAACCUUGACCUUUACAUACUUGCAAUUUUGAAAAAUAUCAGUUUUGUCAUAUGGUCAGGUUUCACCUGCUGCUGAUUUUACCUCCUACAAAAUGGCAUCCAUAUUUCAAAGAACCCACCCUCUGUUCUACCAGUCCUGCUGGGUUUGUUUCUCCAUCAAAAGGGCGUCCCACGUUUAAGGCUAUGAGAUUUUCCAUGAUGGAAUGAAAAAAUCCUUUCCACGCAGAGCCACGUAGCAGACAGUUAAUGACAAGGUGGGUGUCAUUUUUUCCUUCUUCACAAGGAGAGCACCUUUGCAAGGAGCGUUCAGCAAGCAAACGGUGGAUCUAAAGCAAUGUUGUUACUCACUACAAUGUGGUCAUUCUGGUCCCUCCUGCACCUCUGUGCAGGCACAUCCCGUAAGGGAAAGUAAUAACUUCUUUCUCAGCAGCCUCCCUAGUGUGUUGUGUCACCACUGAAACAUGUAUGGGAUCCUGGCUGGAGACACCUACUAUCUGUGGACUAUUUAAUAAUAUUUCUCUGUAAAUUUCCUCAGAGGAGAAUGAAUAAUGCCUUUUCCGUAUCAUUCAUCGUUGUGCCUGCUCAGCCUUCCCCGGUCUCUCUUUUAAGCUUUCAGUGUGUAUGUAUCUGUCAUGGCCCUUCUAAAAGUGACACAUAUUUAAAAAAUUCCCCCAUUUUCUCGUUCAUCCACAUAUGUCAGUUGAUUGAAAGGAGUAAUGAAAGUCAAAUGAAAGCCUUGAAAGGAAAACUUUUUCUCUUAAAACAAUCAAAGUGAAAGAUACUGGAAAGGAGAAACCUUUACUCCUUUAUGAUUUUGGCAGAUUUCUAUAUGAGAUUUCAUCUCUGCAUCUCAAAAGGUGGGGGGCACCUACCCUCACCCCAGCACAGCUGUAUGUGUUUGGUAGGUUCCGGAGAAGAACUCCUUCAGAGAAUGGAUUGAAGGGAGAGUGACUUUUCAUAUUUACCUCAGCAUCUUGAAAGCCUGAAUAGCUGGUCAAAUCCCACCUCUCUUCAGAUUUUAAAACUACCCUGGUUUCUUCCAAAAGAAGAGAAUGUCUCCUGCUUGCAUGAUGCUAUCAAAUAAGUCUCUUCUUAGAGCAAUUAAAACUCCUUUUAGAGCCUUUCAACAUUUAACUAUAAAUCCAUCUGGUCUUGCUGCUAUAUUUAUUUACAGAUUAUUCAUGACAGUGUCUACAUCCUCUUUUAAAAAUAUAUUCUCUAUAAUUUUGUAGAGUCAGGAGGGGCAAGAUAGUUUAACUUUUCUUUGUACUUUUUGGCACUAACAUACAUAAUUCUUCAUAAAAUUAUUUAUAUAUUGGUAACAACUGCCUUGAAGUACGAUAAGUUUAUAUUCAGAUUACUCUUCCUUAAUGAUUUGGGUUACCUUUGCAGUCCCUCAAUAUUUUUCUUUGUUUUGAAGCCCUAAAAUUUAUAUUACCGAAGCCCCUGCUAGUCUGAAAACAGUCUUAUACCUCCUUCACUACUUUUAUUUACUUGGCUCCCGUCUCCCUGGAUUCUUGAGCAGUUCUCAUUGUUCUCAUACUUUUUACUCUUUUCCCUUGCUCCCUGAAAGUGGAAGUGUGCUGUAAGUUGCUGAUGGAAGAGGAUGUUAUCCCUUCCUAAUGGUUCAUUAUUCCACUAAAUAAUGGUCUCCAUCUGGGAGGGCAGUUAAUGGCUACGUCAGGAACCUUCUGGCACAUCACUGAAUUUCUCAGAAAUUGGAAAUGAGGUGGGAAGAAGUGCUGAAAGCAAAAUUUCACAUCUCUCCCAUAUUA